rnacentral:rRNA from 1 species
UACAGAGACUGCAAGCGUUAUUCGGAUUCACUGGGCGUAAAGCGCACGCAGGCGGCCCGGCGCGUGGGGUGUGAAAGCUGGCGGCUUAACUGCCAGACGCCAUCCCAUACGGCUGGGCUCGAGCCCUGCAGAGGUCCAUGGAAUUGCCGGUGUAGUGGUGAAAUGCGUAGAGAUCGGCAGGAACACCCAGGGGGAAACCAGUGGACUGGGCAGGAGCUGACGCUCAGGUGCGAAAGCGUGGGGAGCGAACCGG